AUAUCAUGGUGUGGACACUUUCUCAUGAGAUCAUUAUACCUCUCCCAUGAAUCAUAAAACUAUUCACCAUGGAUUUGGGAGAAUGCCAUAAUAUCUCUUCUCAUUU